UCCAUUUCCAUUCUCCGAGAAUCCCCUCAUUCUUCGCAUUUUGUAUGAAUUUCCCCAUCAUCUUCAUCUCAUUUCCACUGUCAGCUGGAGGCAAAAAGCUACUAGGCAUGCUUUUUCCUGAGAGUCCUAAUUUUGCAAAAGAAAAGCAAAUCUGUUGCAUGGUGAGCUAUUGUUCGUCAUCAACUAGUGUAGAACAACGUGCUUUCUAGCAUUCCAACACCACAAUUAUCUUAUCUCAAAGAGGUUUCAGCAUCAAAGCAGCUUUCAUCAGACUCCAAUACAGGGAAGAUGAGUUUUUUUAAAUUGAUGUUUCUUUGGAACAGAAAAGAUUCUACGAAUAAGCAUAAGUGGUUCCCAAUACACUUUUCCUACUGUGCAUACACAUUGCCCAUCCACAUUUGAUCACCGUGCUUAUAGAAAGAAACCAAUUGAAAAUCAGACAUCCCCCACCUCCACUGCCCUGCUUUUUAUCAAUAUUAUUGUCAGUUCCCUUGGGCAAUUGGCCCUCCAAAUCUCCUUAAUAAUUUGUUUUCUUUUUUAUA